ensembl:lncRNA LINC00954 long intergenic non-protein coding RNA 954
AGACUAAGCAGUGUUGCUAGAAACAAAUCAUUGCAUAACUAAAUCAUGAUCCACCAUGCACAUAGCCCACCAACCAAUGGAGAAGACCAGCAGAACAGAUAGUAGGCUAUCUCUUCCAGCCUCAAGCCCCAAUGCUGUCAUUCCUAAGUUGAGACGUUGAAGUCUCUUUGCCUCCCUGGUACAGAGUCUGUUUGCCUUGUCUUGUCCAUGAACCAGAGUUCCUUCAAGUCCUUUCUUGCUCUGCAGUUCUACAAACCAGUGAGCCUGCUCUUGCCUCCAUGCUUGUCCUAGGCUGAUGCUGCUCUGCUACUACUCAGUUAAAGAAACAUUGGCCCAAGAGGACAGGCACAAGGACAGGUGGAAGAAGAAAGCUGUCCUGCCACCAGGAGAUGGCAUGGUGGUAUGGCAGUCCCAGGGCCUCAGAGAGAGCAGACAGACACUGGAGAUCCAGGCAAGAGUAGCUCAAGAUGAGUCGUUCAUUGAGUUUCACCAUGGGGAGAUGGCCAUUGUGAAUCAGCCAUAGUCAACACUCUUUGAGGUAGAACUGAUGAGCUUUGCAGAUGCCUCAGCAGAAUUACUCCUGGACAAGUGUUGGGUGUCAGAGUCACCAGAAUUUGAUGGCAGCCCCCAGUGGAACAUAAUAAAUAGGUACAUAUCCUCAGCUAGCAGCUGAGAGGGCAGAACCAGAACCCCAGUCCUACCAGAUAUAGCCCAAGAUUCUGUAAGAAUAUCUUACAUGCUAAAGCAAGAUCCCCAAAGUGAGGACCUGAUAUGGUUAGGCUGUGUCCCCACCCAAAAUCUCAUCUUGAAUUAUCCCCACAAUCCCCACUUGUCAAGGGCAGGACCAAGGGUGGAGGUAUGGGGGCAGUUUCCCCGGAGCUGUUCUCAUGAUAGUGACUCUCACGAGAUCUGAUGGUUUUAUAAGUGUCUGACAUGUCCCCUGCUUGCACUCACUCCAUCCUGCCACCCUGUGAAGGAGGUGCCUGCUUCUCCUUUGCCUUCUGCCAUGAUUGUAAGUUCCC